rnacentral:rRNA from 1 species
AUUGAACGCUGGCGGCAGGCCUAACACAUGCAAGUCGAGCGGAUGAAGGGAGCUUGCUCCUGGAUUCAGCGGCGGACGGGUGAGUAAUGCCUAGGAAUCUGCCUGGUAGUGGGGGAUAACGUCCGGAAACGGGCGCUAAUACCGCAUACGUCCUGAUGGAGAAAGUGGGGGAUCUUCGGACCUCACGCUAUCAGAUGAGCCUAGGUCGGAUUAGCUAGUUGGUGGGGUAAAGGCCUACCAAGCCGACGAUCCGUAACUGGUCUGAGAGGAUGAUCAGUCACACUGGAACUGAGACACGGUCCAGACUCCUACGGGAGGCAGCAGUGGGGAAUAUUGGACAAUGGGCGAAAGCCUGAUCCAGCCAUGCCGCGUGUGUGAAGAAGGUCUUCGGAUUGUAAAGCACUUUAAGUUGGGAGGAAGGGCAGUAAGUUAAUACCUUGCUGUUUUGACGUUACCAACAGAAUAAGCACCGGCUAACUUCGUG